GUGCUGCUGGGUAGUUUGUACAUAUGGUGCUGCUAGGUAUUUGUACAUAUGGUGCUGCUGGGCAGUUUGUACAUAUGGUGCUGCUGGGUGGUUUGUACAUAUGGUGCUGCUGGGUAGUUUGUACAUAUGGUGCUGCUGGGUAGUUUGUACAUAUGGUGCUGCUGGGUGGGUUGUACAUAUGGUGCUGCUGGGUGGUUUGUACAUAUGGUGCUGCUGGGUGGUUUGUACAUAUGGUGCUGCUGGGUGGUUUGUACAUAUGGUGCUGCUGGGUGGUUUGUACAUAUGAUGCUGCUGGACAGUUUGUACAUAUGGUGCUGCUGGGUGGUUUGUACAUAUGGUGCUGCUUGGGGGUUUGUACAUAUGGUGCUGCUGGGCAGUUUGUACAUAUGGUGCUGCUGGGUAGUUUGUAC
ensembl:lncRNA